AGGGUUGUGGCUCAGCGGUAGAGUGCUCGCCUUGCAUGUGUGAGGCCCUGGGUUCUAUCCUCAGCACCACAU
rnacentral:tRNA from 1 species